GAUGAACGCUGGCGGCGUGCCUAACACAUGCAAGUCGAGCGAACGGACGCGAAGCUUGUGUCUCUGAUGUUAGCGGCGGACGGGUGUGUCACACGUGGAUAACCUACCUAUAAUUCUGGGAUAACUUCGGGAAACCGGCGCUAAUACCGUAUAAUCUUUUGAACCGCAUGGUGCAAAAGUGAAUGACGGUCUUGGUGUCACUUAUAGAUGGAUCCGCGCUGCAUUAGCUAGUUGGUAAGGUAACGGCUUACCAAGGCAACGAGGCAUAGCCGACCUGAGAGGGUGAUCGGCCACACUGGAACGGAGACACGGUCCAGACUCCUACGGGAGGCAGCAGUAGGGAAUCUUCCGCAAUGGGCGAAAGCCUGACGGAGCAACGCCGCGUGAGUGAUGAAGGUCUUCGGAUCGUAAAACUCUGUUAUUAGGGAAGAACAUAUGUGUAAGUAACUGUGCACAGCUUGACGGUACCUAAUCAGAAAGCCACGGCUAACUACGUG
rnacentral:rRNA from 1 species